rnacentral:lncRNA from 1 species
ACGUCGUUAUUCUCAAGGUUGCUUCUAUGGAUAACAUAUAGAUAUCCAUUGUCUAGGCCUACUAUUCAACCAUUUAUGAAAUGACUACAGAAGAGGUAUCAUCACUGAUGACCAAGCUGAUUGGCUUUAGUGCAAGUGGGAGAUUGUUGGAAAUGUGCCCUAAAACCAAUCAUAUGAUGAUACUUUACGGACAUUUCACA